AGCUUGCUCUUAUGAAGUUAGCGGCGGACGGGUGAGUAACACGUGGGUAACCUGCCCAUAAGACUGGGAUAACUCCGGGAAACCGGGGCUAAUACCGGAUAACAUUUUGAACUGCAUGGUUCGAAAUUGAAAGGCGGCUUCGGCUGUCACUUAUGGAUGGACCCGCGUCGCAUUAGCUAGUUGGUGAGGUAACGGCUCACCAAGGCAACGAUGCGUAGCCGACCUGAGAGGGUGAUCGGCCACACUGGGACUGAGACACGGCCCAGACUCCUACGGGAGGCAGCAGUAGGGAAUCUUCCGCAAUGGACGAAAGUCUGACGGAGCAACGCCGCGUGAGUGAUGAAGGCUUUCGGGUCGUAAAACUCUGUUGUUAGGGAAGAACAAGUGCUAGUUGAAUAAGCUGGCACCUUGACGGUACCUAACCAGAAAGCCACGGCUAACUACGUGCCAGCAGCCGCGGUAAUACGUAGGUGGCAAGCGUUAUCCGGAAUUAUUGGGCGUAAAGCGCGCGCAGGUGGUUUCUUAAGUCUGAUGUGAAAGCCCACGGCUCAACCGUGGAGGGUCAUUGGAAACUGGGAGACUUGAGUGCAGAAGAGGAAAGUGGAAUUCCAUGUGUAGCGGUGAAAUGCGUAGAGAUAUGGAGGAACACCAGUGGCGA
rnacentral:rRNA from 1 species